GAUGAACGCUAGCUACAGGCUUAACACAUGCAAGUCGAGGGACCGGCGCACGAGUGAGUAACACGUAUACAACCUGCCCUUUACUCGGGGAUAGCCUUUCGAAAGAAAGAUUAAUACCCGAUAUAAAGGAUGGGGAUGCGUUCCAUUAGGUUGUUGGUGAGGUAACGGCGUACAAAGCCUUCGAUGGAUAUGUGUUCUGAGAGGAAGGUCGCCCAAAUUGGAACUGAGACGCGUUGCAAACUCAUACGGGAGGCAGCAGUGAGGAAUAUUGUGCAAUGGGCGCUAGUCUGACCCAGCCAAGUAGCGUGAAGGAUGAAGGCUUAUGGGUCGUAAACUUCUUUUAUAUAAGAAUAUGUAUUAUAUGAAUAAGGAUCGGCUAACUCCGUGCCAGCAGCCGCGGUAAUUC
rnacentral:rRNA from 1 species